GACGAACGCUGGCGGCGUGCUUAACACAUGCAAGUCGAACGGAAAGGCCCUGCUUUUGUGGGGUGCUCGAGUGGCGAACGGGUGAGUAACACGUGAGUAACCUGCCCUUGACUUUGGGAUAACUUCAGGAAACUGGGGCUAAUACCGGAUAGGAGCUCCUGCUGCAUGGCGGGGGUUGGAAAGUUUCGGCGGUUGGGGAUGGACUCGCGGCUUAUCAGCUUGUUGGUGGGGUAGUGGCUUACCAAGGCUUUGACGGGUAGCCGGCCUGAGAGGGUGACCGGCCACAUUGGGACUGAGAUACGGCCUAGACUCCUACGGGAGGCAGCGGUGGGGAAUAUUGCACAAUGGGCGGAAGCCUGAUGCAGCAACGCCGCGUGCGGGAUGACGGCCUUCGGGUUGUAAACCGCUUUCGCCUGUGACGAAGCGUGAGUGACGGUAAUGGGUAAAGAAGCACCGGCUAACUACGUG
rnacentral:rRNA from 1 species